rnacentral:rRNA from 1 species
AACGAACGCUGGCGGCGUGCCUAACACAUGCAAGUCGUGCGAGAAAGUUCCUUCGGGAGCGAGUAAAGCGGCGCACGGGUGAGUAACACGUAGGUAACCUGCCCCCCAGUCUGGAACAACUAGAGGAAACUCUAGCUAAUGCCGGAUGAGACCACGAUCCCUUCGGGGGUUGCGGCCAAAGAUGGCCUCUACUUGUAAGCUAUCGCUGAGGGAUGGGCCUGCGGGCCAUUAGCUUGUUGGUGAGGUAACGGCUCACCAAGGCUGUGAUGGCUAGCUGGUCUGAGAGGAUGACCAGCCACACUGGGACUGAGACACGGCCCAGACUCCUACGGGAGGCAGCAGUGGGAAUAUUGCGCAAUGGGCGAAAGCCUGACGCAGCGACGCCGCGUGGGUGAUGAAGGCCUGUGUAG